rnacentral:lncRNA from 1 species
UAUGCCUACCUCACAUGAAAUACACUCUCGGAAUUCAUGUCAAACGAACAAAUGAGAAAAUGUCAUGUGUAAUUUUAAUUAAAAAAUUGCCACCUAUUAUAAAACAAAAACAAUAAAAGCAAUAAUAAUAAAUAAACACCAGAGACCUAGACCCCUCCCAGCCGCCCCCUUUCUUCUUCAACCAAGAGCAGACCCUAAUCCCCCUAAAAAUUCCAGUCGUCAAACCUCCUCUUCAAGGUGUCACUGCUUCUGUCCAAAUGACCCUUUCUUCCCAGAAGUGCCUUUAGCCGUUUCCAAACAGCCACUGACGCUGUAAUAUCCAUGGACGCUGGCAACAACUAUGACUGCCGGCAACAAUCAUGAACCACUUCCUGUUUAUCACCAUGUUGCUUAAAAAUUUUGAAUUUUUGGAGUCUGUUGUUUUUGCUUCUGAGUCGAGUUUUAGAAGUAGCUGAUGUAACCGUGGCAGUAGCGUUGUUGUUCGUUGUCCUUAUUUGCUAGCCGAAUUUUUGUUGAAAAAUCUGUUCCGGCCAGCUCUAUUAAUUUCAGCUGAAGACACCAUUGUUUCACCACUAAUUUUUGCCUCUUGGGAUUGGCUGAAGAGGAAUGAAUGAAAUUAACUUGUGCAGUGAAUAGUUUCAUACUGUUUUCAAUGGUUUCUAUACGAGGGGUUUCAAUGGUUUCUACUGUUUUGCACAUUCACUAUCAUAGUAAAGUUAUUGUGUCGAGAAUGGUGGGUUAAGGUGCAGUGAAUAGCGGAAGAAAAUUUUUGAAAAGAUAGAGUGAGGAAAAGUGGGCUCCACCAGUUA